AUUGAACUACAUUUUUAUCGGACUACGUCGGACUUCAACGGACUUCAAGGAAUUCAACGGAAUUCAACAGAAUUCUGACAGAAAUGCCUUCAGAAUUGGCAGGUGAUCGGAAAGGGAAGAUAUACAGGAAGUAUGUACAGAUUACCAUAACUGUUGACAGGGGUACCAGCCAAUCAGCCACCCCGCUACGCUGUAGACCUUCUCUCCACGGGGAUUCUUCUGGGGCCCUUUAUAGAUAUCGGGGUGCACAAUGAUGCGGUAACCGCAAUAUAAAAACGGCGGUCUCGAGAUCCCUUCGAUUCGCGCAUCUGUGUGACGUAAUAUAAUGAUGAUAUUACGGCUUUUCCCCCCUAUCUUUCGUUCACGAAUCAAGCAGCCUCGGUUGCAGUUUUCGAUGCCACAAUCGGCGGACCACCCUGAAUGAUCGUGCGUUUUACCGCCCGCGGUGAACGUGCCUGUUGAUUUAUUUAUUCCUUCGCUGUUUGCGACAAUUAGUAUUAUUAACGGAAAAACGAGCGAAUCAUAUCAAGCCGAGAACAAUUUGCUGAUUCACAAAGAGGGAGGCAAAAAAUAGUUUUCGUUAAAAAAAAACUAAAUAUUAAAUACUAACUAAACACUUUCCGUACUUUUUCCAUAUUUUUCUAUUUAAAAUGAACCUCUCUCCGUAGUUAUCCUUUUGUUUAUACACUGUUAAACUAUUAUUUUGACUUCAAAUUAUAAUUUAUGAGUACAAAAA